CAAAGAUCUGAACCAAAGGCUCCGAGGGCAGCCCUUCCUCCAGCAGCACCGGGAGGAGCAGGCAGAGCUCCCAGAGCUGGCAGAACAGCACCUGGAGCAGAAGCUGAGCAUGAAGCUGGCCAGCUGGGAAAUGAGCUAAUGAGGUGCAGAUGGUAUGAUUCUUAGAGCACAAAGUGCAGGUCAUGGCUGCUGUUGCUCUCCUGGGAAGCUGGAAAGAAGGUGGUUCUGCUGCUCUGUUUCUCCUGCUGGUAUUUUGCCCAGCUAGCUGUGUGCUACAAAUGAGCUGGUGCUCUCUAACAGCACUAGGAAUGGCCUUUGUUUGCCAUUAAUGUUAAAAAGAGAUCAGCUAUUUACAGACGGCUUGGUAGUUGUUCUUUCCUGAAUGCUUCCUUGUGUCUUGAGUUCAUAGUGCUGCUGGAGCACACUAGGAAGGGUGCCUUUCUGCAACAUCCAUGUGCUGCAAGUGAGGUUCAGGCAGCUCAGCCCAAACCUGGCUCACACCAUCCAGCUGCCAGCCUUGGCAUUCAGCUUGUAGAAGGCUUUGACAAGGACCUCAGCGAAUCCUGUUUGCAAAUUGCUGACCCUCUAAAUUGCCCAUACAUUGAUGAGAUAAAGAGAAGAUCCCAGUCUGGGUGGGGUGAAGGCCAAGGACAGCAUGCAGCACUAGCAGUGCUGAUUUGCUGGCACAGAAAAGUGUCUUCAGAAAGUCCAGAUCUCACAGAAAAACUUCCAGAGUGAAUUAAGCCUCAGAAUACCAAAAAGUCGCCUCAGUAAUUGCUAAGCACGCCCAGUUAUUCACACAAUGUUCGCUAGUUCCUCUAUUUAAUUGGAUUCUUGAGCAGAAUUUCAAUUGCAUCUCUUCAUUUUUCAAGCACAAAGAAAUAGUUUUAAACUCUGUAAAUAUCAGAAAGGAUUGUUAUCUUUUACACACAUCCAAGCAGACCGGUUCCUGUAUUAACACUAAAAAGAAACCAAAACCCAGACAGAGAAACGUGCUGGAAUAAUAAGAGGUAAUCUUCAGACUGUCUACUGGAUGACAAUUGAAGAGCCCAAAGCCACUUGUCACAUACAGCCAGCAUGAAGCAUACCUCAUGGAGCAGCAUUUGGAGCGUGGGCAUUGCUGAGCUCUCACCUGGGUCACUCAUUUUAAUCUUAAUGGGAAAAAAAAAACAACACUUGAUGUGCUAGAAAUCUAAUGGAGAUACUGCAGCCCAAUAGGAAGAGAACCUCCAUCUCUCAGCACCCCUCAGACUAUGAGGCACCUUGUCUGACCUGCACAUCCCUUUGGACAUGUCUGAGUCUGGUCCUGGGCAAGUCAGGCUGACCCAGCCCAAGGAACAAGGCACUGAAAUCCACAAAUCAAGCAGCAUCUAUAUAGACUUGUGCUGAUGGUGGUGUUGGUUCUGCUGGUAAGUGUAUCAUCUUGUUGAACAUUCCUGUUCCAGUCAAGGCCCCUCAGUCACUCACUUUGUUCCAUGAUUACUAGCUCCACUGCUACUACUGUGCUUAUAAAUGCUUCCCAACCUGGGGGUAUCCAAACCUGUUUGGGGGACCCUCAUCCACAAUGCUUAUAGUCCAGCCUGGAUGGUUAUAUGUGAGAAGGAACAGCUUCCACCUUUCCCUGGUGAUUCCCCCCCCUUUUCCUAACAAUGAACAUUAGAUUUGCAG
ensembl:lncRNA